UCAUUAAGUUGGGCACUCUAGGUUGACUGCCGGUGACAAACCGGAGGAAAGUGGGGAUGACGUCAAAUCAUCAUGCCCCUUAUGAUUUGGGCUACACACGUGCUACAAUGGACAAUACAAAGGGCAGCUAAACCGCGAGGUCAUGCAAAUCCCAUAAAGUUGUUCUCAGUUCGGAUUGUAGUCUGCAACUCGACUACAUGAAGCUGGAAUCGCUAGUAAUCGUAGAUCAGCAUGCUACGGUGAAUACGUUCCCGGGUCUUGUACACACCGCCCGUCACACCACGAGAGUUUGUAACACCCGAAGCCGGUGGAGUAACCAUUUAUGGAGCUAGCCGUCGAAGGUGGGACAAAUGAUUGGGGUGAAGUCGUAACAAGGUAGCC
rnacentral:rRNA from 1 species